CUUUCUCUAUUUUUCCUUGCUAACCCCUUUUACUCAGAUUUUUCUUGCUAGCUUGUCUUCCUUUGUCUGUUUCUUAAACAUUGAUGUCUCUAUGGGCCUGAUUCAUCAUCAGCCCUCUUCUCUUUAUUACAGACACUCUUGCCAGUCAAUCCCAUUAGUUUCCAUGGUUCAACUUUCUACCCAUAGGUUGAUAACUCCCGAAUGUAUAUUUCCAUUCCAGUGGCUCUUCUGAGUAACAGGUUCAUACUUGCAACUCCUCUUGGACAGACUAGACUGUGAGCCAGGGUAUGCUCAUGCUUCUGAGGAACGCCACCAGGCUACAGUAGAAGCCCCAUGGUAGCCAUCAGAAAAUCAUUGGAAUCAUCGAGAAGUUAUACUACCUAUGGCUGAAAACAUCUAUUAUCUUAUGGGCUCCAGAAGCAAUAAUGAAACUUGAUCCAGGAAGGUCUUGGAAAAAGACUGAAAGAGUAUCAGGACUGCAGCCAAUUGGCAGAUACAGAAACAGAUCCAGAGAAGAUGGAAAGCUACCCAAGAAAAGCAUGUAGCCAGCCGGGGACUAGAGGCCUGCUUUCUUCACUGGAAGCUAGAAUUUCUCCCACUUUGCCAUCUUGCUUCCCCCAUUCUUUGGAAGAAUUCAUCAUCUGGCUUCACAGUUCUGAGAGGCUGAGUUCUAGGAUCAGCAGUCAGGAAAUUUAGAUUUGCAGCCAGGCUGGCAUAGUAUAAACUACAUGGGUUCUAGAGUAAAACCCCAGCUGCUACUUCUCAGCUGCAUCAGCUUUACUAAGUCACUUUCUCACUUUCUCACUUUUUAGUUUCAUUAUAUAUCAAACAUAGGCAUCAGAGAGUUACUAUAUUAUACCCAGCCUUGUAUACUCAGCAUAUCUUUUUGCUCCUUCCCUACAUUUGUUUCCCUCCAAGGGCUCCAUGUCUUUGUCAUGGCUUCGAAGGAAAGAAGGAAAGAAGGAAGGAAAGAAGGAAAGAAGGAAGGAAGGAAGGAAGGAAGGAAGGAAGGAAGGAAGGAAGGAAGGAAGGAAGGAAGGAAGGAAGGAAACUAGCUAAGUAUUAUGAAUACAUCAUUUUAAAGGUUGCCCUUGAGUGUAAAUCUAAGGAGAAUUACUUAUAAUAAUUAUUCAAUAAUUACUGCCCGUUGCAACUUUAGGCUGGCAGGGCUGAAAGAAAGCAUUUCAGCUUUCUGUUUUACUCAAGAUUAUAGUAUUAGUAACCCCGAGUCUAUUUACAAAAGGCAACUGGAAUGGCGCAAUUAUUCAGAUAAAAAACCAAGAUAAAGACUAAGUUAUUUUUCUAA